AUGGAUUGUCUCAUCACGUGGGAUUUCUCUUAUGGCCAAAAGGUGGCCGCACAGGUGCGUCGACGUUUCAGAUCUCCGGUUCAUUUUGAUGGAUCUCCCUUUUCUUCGGCUUUCUUCUUGGUUGUGGCAUUCAACUUCUCUUCCUUCUUGCUGGAUGUCGUAUCAGUUGCCAUGGCUUUGUGUUCUUGCCUGGGC
rnacentral:rRNA from 1 species